CGUAGCUCAGCUGGAUAGAGCAACGGCCUUCUAAGCCGUGGGUCGGAGGUUCGAAUCCUCUC
rnacentral:tRNA from 1 species